rnacentral:tRNA from 1 species
GGUUCUGUGGUGUAGUGGUUAUCACGUCUGCUUUACACGCAGAAGGCCCCGGUUCGAUCAGAACCA